rnacentral:misc_RNA from 1 species
UCGCGGCUUAUCACCGGCAGUCCCCUUAGAGUGCCCAACUAAAUGAUGGCAACUAAAGGAGAGGGUUGCGCUCGUUGCGGGACUUAACCCAACAUCUCACGACACGAGCUGACGACAACCAUGCACCACCUGUGCACAGACCUUGCGGGGGACCCAUCUCUGGGCCUUUCCUGUGCAUGUCAAGCCUUGGUAAGGUUCUUCGCGUUGCAUCGAAUUAAUCCACAUAAUCCACCGCUUGUGCGGGUCCCCGUCAAUUCCUUUGAGUUUUAACCUUGCGGCCGUACUCCCCAGGCGGUCGACUUCACGCGUUAGCUUCGUUACUGAGAGUGUCAAACCCCCAACAACCAGUCGACAUCGUUUAGGGCGUGGACUAC